rnacentral:tRNA from 1 species
GCAGCGGUAGUUCAGUGGUAGAAUUCUUGCCUUCUGUGUGAAAGACCUGAGUUCAAUUCCUGGCCAAUGCA